rnacentral:rRNA from 1 species
AGCGAACGCUGGCGGCAGGCCUAACACAUGCAAGUCGAACGAACCUUUCGGGGUUAGUGGCGGACGGGUGAGUAACACGUGGGAACGUGCCUUUAGGUUCAGAAUAACUCAGGGAAACUUGUGCUAAUACCGGAUGUGCCCUUCGGGGGAAAGAUUUAUCGCCUUUAGAGCGGCCCGCGUCUGAUUAGCUAGUUGGUUGAGGUAAUGGCUCACCAAGGCGACGAUCAGUAGCUGGUCUGAGAGGAUGAUCAGCCACAUUGGGACUGAGACACGGCCCAAACUCCUACGGGAGGCAGCAGUGGGGAAUCUUGCGCAAUGGGCGAAAGCCUGACGCAGCCAUGCCGCGUGAAUGAUGAAGGUCUUAGGAUUGUAAAAUUCUUUCACCGGGGACGAUAAUGACGGUACCCGGAGAAGAAGCCCCGGCUAACUUCGUG